CUCUACCAGACUCUCCCGCGGAGCUCCAGAGCGCUCCGGUGCGCACUUUACGCAAAAAACCUCCGCGUAAAACAGGAUGGAAACAGUUUGCUUCAGGAUCCAACAGAUGCUACAGAAUCCUCCUCCUCCUCCUCCUCUUCCUCCUCCUCCUCCUCCUCCUCCUCCAUCACAUC